GCCCCCAUAGUUUAGUCUGGAUAGAACACGAGCUUGCGGAGCUUGAGACCGGGGUUCAAAUCCUCGUGGGGGCA
rnacentral:tRNA from 1 species